UAGUCUAGUGGUUAAGACUAUGGAACGCCAAUCCAGAGACGGCGGGUUCGAUUCCCGU
rfam:Aedes albopictus isolate Foshan contig105608, whole genome shotgun sequence.